CUGGUACAAAGUGCUCGUAACUGGGAGGCUUGUCGAAUCCUGCUCAGAACACGGAACCAGUAUUAUUGUAAAAUUACGAUUACCUAAAUACACUUAUCGAAACAUUUACAAGAGGAACUGUCUCAAAAAACAGACGCUUAGCAAUAAUUGAGCUGGUAUAUGUUUUUAAUUACCCGUGGCCAACGAAUACGUGAUCG